rnacentral:rRNA from 1 species
AACAAAAACAAUACAACCUAACUUGUAAGCUGAUCUCAGAAGCUAACCAAGGUUGGGCCUGGUUAGUACUUGAAUGGGAGACCACCUAGGAAGACCAGGUGCUGUAGGCG